rnacentral:rRNA from 1 species
GAUGAACGCUAGCUACAGGCUUAACACAUGCAAGUCGCGGGGCAGCAUGGGGGUUGCUUGCAAUCCCCGAUGGCGACCGGCGCACGGGUGAGUAACGCGUAUCCAACCUGCCCUUCACCACGGGAUAACCCGGCGAAAGUCGGACUAAUACCGUAUGUUGUCCAUUGACGGCAUCCGAUUUGGACGAAAGGUUUGGCGGUGAAGGAUGGGGAUGCGUCCGAUUAGCUGGACGGCGGGGUGACGGCCCACCGUGGCGACGAUCGGUAGGGGUUCUGAGAGGAAGGUCCCCCACACUGGAACUGAGACACGGUCCAGACUCCUACGGGAGGCAGCAGUGAGGAAUAUUGGUCAAUGGGCGUAAGCCUGAACCAGCCAAGUAGCGUGCAGGAUGACGGCCCUAUGGGUUGUAAACUGCUUUUAUGCGGGGAUAAAGUGGCCUACGUGUGGGUUUUUGCAGGUACCGCAUGAAUAAGAACCGGCUAAUUCCGUG